GACGAACGCUGGCGGCGUGCCUAAUACAUGCAAGUCGAACGCAGUGGGGACGGGUGAGUAACACGUGGGUAACCUCACAUUAGAGGGGAUAACACUUGGAAACAGGUGCUAAACCGAUACUGAUGGAUGGAGCCGCGGUGCAUUAGCUAGUUGGUGAGGUAAAGGCUCACCAAGGCCACGAUGCAUAGCCGACCUGAGAGGGUGAUCGGCCACACGGGGACUGAGACACGGCCCAGACUCCUACGGGAGGCAGCAGUGGGGAAUAUUGGGCAAUGGACGAAAGUCUGACCCAGCGACGCCGCGUGUGUGAAGAAGGUUUUCGGAUCGUAAAGCACUGUUGGUAGGGAAGCGGUAUCUAACCAGAAAGCCACGGCUAACUACGUGCCAGCAGCCGCGGUAAUUC
rnacentral:rRNA from 1 species